GCCUCCCUCCGCCGCCACUCAGACUCCGUACCGGGGCGACGGCGAGGUGGGGUAAGUUUUGGUCGGUCGAAGUAGGGGAACCGUAGGACGCAGCACGCCGCGUGGAGGAGUGAAGUCCUUGGAUGUAACUCCUUCGAUCGGACGAUUAUGACGGUACCGGAAGAAGAAGCACCGGCUAACUCUGUGCCAGCAGCCGCGGUAAUUC
rnacentral:rRNA from 1 species